rnacentral:rRNA from 1 species
UACGUAGGGGGCUAGCGUUGUCCGGAAUCAUUGGGCGUAAAGCGCGUGUAGGCGGCCCGGUAAGUCCGCUGUGAAAGUCGGGGGCUCAACCCUCGGAUGCCGGUGGAUACUGUCGGGCUUGAGUACGGAAGAGGCGAGUGGAAUUCCUGGUGUAGCGGUGAAAUGCGCAGAUAUCAGGAGGAACACCGAUUGCGAAGGCAGCUCGCUGGGACGUAACUGACGCUGAGACGCGAAAGCGUGGGGAGCAAACAGG